UGUGAGGUGCGGCGCGGCGUCUGUGAGGGGCGCGGCGUCUGUGAUGGGCGCAGGGUCUGUGAGGUGCAAAGGCCAUUUAGUGUGUGGCCUUAGUUAAUUUUUUGUUUUCAAUUUUCUGUCUCUCAUGUUAUUGAUCUGUAAAAGGAGCAUAAUCGAAGACAAACUGAUGUGAGGAUGAGGAGGAGUCAGAAAUAAACUCAUUCAACUAAUACUUGAGUAGCUACUGUUGCCUACAGUAUGUUCAAGGUUUUGCUAGUCAUCCAUAUGAUCACUAUUGACAGCUUGGGAGACUCACACAGGCUAGUGAAUUUCAGGAAUUAACAGAAACUGAACAGCUUCUAUAAUCCUGCAGGAAGUAACCUCUGGAUGGCACAAUGGAUAAAUCCAGCCUUAUUUUGCUACUCCAAAGUCAUCUGCACCUAUCACCUCAGAAUUCAUUCUUUUUUUUAAAAAAAAAAAAAAAA
rnacentral:lncRNA from 1 species